rnacentral:lncRNA from 1 species
UGGCAGCCCAGCCUUGAGCAUCCACUCAACUCUGCACGCCACGGAAGAGAAGGCAGGCCAGGCCAGAUGAAGGCUAGGUGCUGGCUGGGGCCUCUGCAGGGGCCAAUGUGCUGGAGCCCUGGAGGCUGAGUGCCUGCUCCAGGCUGAGCCACCGCUGUGGGAACACAUGAAUGGAAGCACGCAUGGCAAACGCUGUGGAGGGAUCAGGAAGGCAUGGAAAGAAGCAUAUUCUGCAUCUUUCAUCCUUUCUUCCCUGGACACAUCUGUUCAGGCCAUGCAUAUCCCUAGUACCAAGCCAGCACUUGACCCAGAAGCACACACCCAUUGGAUGAAUGGAAUCACUCAGGCACAGGAUUCACUGACCCCUGCUAGCACUGGGCAUGAUGAACAAGACUGACCUGUUCUUCCAGACCUGCUGUCUGGCCCCAAGGAAACCUGGACCCCCACCAGAUGGAAAAUGCCCAUUGCAGUCAAGUAGACCUCAGAAGAGUGGUAACUAAGGACAGAACACUGAUCGCCGGUCUUUCUUCUCAAUUUCUUCCUGAGGGGCCUGGAGAGACUCAUACCUACAGGCCAGACCUUAACAUUCAUUUUGGCUGUCCCCAAGGUUUUAGACAAAGGCUUGCUCCUUAAUCAACUGCAUAUCACAGAAUCUCUGGAUCUACGUAUGACCUCAAAGCCUGCCCCACAAGAUAUCCUGCUUUUUUGGGCCAAACCAAUGUAUAACCUCCAUGUAUAGGUUUACGGUUUUGCCUGUAGCUUCUGCUUUCCUAAAAUGUACCCUUGCCUUUAAAAGCCCUUGCUUGUAGGGCCAUUGAGGAAGUGAGAUGUUAAGCAUGAGCUGCCUGACUCUCCUUGCUCAGCCUCCUGCAGAUAAACGCAGUCUUUUGUCUUGUUGUAAACUUCAGUGUUGGUGUUUGGCUUUAUGGCACAGGUUCAGCAGACCCAGGCUUGGUAAUAUGACCUUGGGUG